CAACGCGAAGAACCUUACCUGGUCUUGACAUCCACAGAACUUUCCAGAGAUGGAUUUGGUGCCUUCGGGAACUGUGAGACAGGUGCUGCAUGGCUGUCGUCAGCUCGUGUUGUGAAAUGUUGGGUUAAGUCCCGCAACGAGCGCAACCCUUAUCCUUUGUUGCCAGCGGUCCGGCCGGGAACUCAAAGGAGACUGCCAGUGAUAAACUGGAGGAAGGUGGGAUGACGUCAAGUCAUCAUGGCCCUUACGACCAGGGCUACACACGUGCUACAAUGGCGCAUACAAAGAGAAGCGACCUCGCGAGAGCAAGCGGACCUCAUAAAGUGCGUCGUAGUCCGGAUUGGAGUCUGCAACUCGACUCCAUGAAGUCGGAAUCGCUAGUAAUCGUGGAUCAGAAUGCCACGGUGAAUACGUUCCCGGGCCUU
rnacentral:rRNA from 1 species